GUUUCGCUUAAAGUUGCAUUUUUUCAAGAACAUAACUACAAUGUUAAGCGAGGAGUUACUGUAUGUCUCUAUUGCUCCAUCAUACCAGGGUGAUAAUGUGUUUAAUAUAAGAUGUGUUUGAAUCUAUCCCAGGACAGGAAGAAACCCAUUGUAAACAAGCUGUCCAACUUCACUGGGUUCAUCUGUGGAAAUAUCUUUGAAGAAAUAUAUCAGGGUGUUCCAAAUGAGUAUAAUGUAAAGAGCCCUGUAUAAGUAUGAAGACAUUGGAGCCAGAGUCAAAAAGCAUCACCUACAGUUUCCUAUAAUCAUUAUCUGUGUGGAUCAGGUAUAAGGCAGUUUUGCUGUAGCUCACGAAGAAGUUUCCUGACAGAGCUUUUGAAGAAGAUCCUACCUUUGGAUAAACUCUGCAGCAUGUCACAGAGCCACAUAAUCUCCAGCUUUUAAACAGUCUCUUGAAGGAACUCCUUCAAUGUUGCAAACCCCAAAGCAAUGCCAGUCUUCCUUCAUGGGAGGCCCUGGAGCCUCACUGCCUCCUAGACUGGAGCAUCUGGGUUUCAGCACUCCUGUUUCACAUUGUGAGCUCUGCCAGCAAGUCCAACUGAAAUUGACUCCUGUUAGAAAACUGUACACUCUUCAGAGACUAAUGAACCUCAGCAAAUAUUUGCUGUGAUGUUUCACUCCAUAUGUUUUAUAGAAAUAUGCUAAUGAGUGUGAAUAUGACAUAACUGGAAUAUGCUUCAUGCAAAAGUUCUCUUGUAAGGUAUCAUUACAAAGCUUAUAAUCUACUAAGUGUGUUCAUCCUAUUUGUAUGUAUGUAUCAUUCUUGUAUCUGAAGCUAAAAAUAUUAAGUAUAGCUCCGAGGUACUAUUGUAAUUAUGGAAAGUGUGGACCAUUGAUGGUGGUUUAGAAUCUUGAUGGCUCCCAUUGACUUAGAAAAUUGUUUUUCAAUGGCUCUGUUUACUUGCAAGCCUUCCUGUG